rnacentral:rRNA from 1 species
GGGCCCGCACAAGCGGAGGAACAUGUGGUUUAAUUCGAUGAUACGCGAGGAACCUUACCCGGGCUUGAAAGUUAGUGACGGACUUGGAAACAGGUCUUUCCAGCAAUGGACACGAAACUAGGUGCUGCAUGGUUGUCGUCAGCUCGUGCCGUGAGGUGUCGGGUUAAGUCCCAUAACGAGCGCAACCCCUACUGUUAGUUGCCAUCAGGUCAAGCUGGGCACUCUAACGGGACUGCCGGUGUAAGCCGAGAGGAAGGUGGGGAUGACGUCAAAUCAGCACGGCCCUUACGUCCGGGGCGACACACGUGUUACAAUGGUAGGUACAGAGGGCAGCUACACAGUGAUGUGGUGCGAAUCUCGAAAGCCUAUCUCAGUUCGGAUUGGAGGCUGAAACUCGCCUCUAUGAAGUUGGAUUCGCUAGUAAUCGCGCAUCAGCCAUGGCGCGGUGAAUACGUUCCCGGGCCUU